rnacentral:rRNA from 1 species
UUUUAUGAGAGUUUGAUCCUGGCUCAGGACGAACGCUGGCGGCGUGCCUAAUACAUGCAAGUCGUACGCUUCUUUUUCCACCGGAGCUUGCUCCACCGGAAAAAGAGGAGUGGCGAACGGGUGAGUAACACGUGGGUAACCUGCCCAUCAGAAGGGGAUAACACUUGGAAACAGGUGCUAAUACCGUAUAACAAUCGAAACCGCAUGGUUUUGAUUU